AGAUCCAUAAAACCUACAUGAAGAACUUCAACAUGAACAAGGCUAAAGCACAAAUCAUACUGACCGGCAAGAUCUGCACACCGCCUUUUGUCAUCCACGACAUGGAGACAGUCCUGCUGGCUGAGCAGAUGGUGAUGGCCAAGCUGGUGACUGUUGAAGUACGGGCUGUAUGAGGCCCUCUUCACCCUCCUGGCCUCCUGUAUGAACAAAGAUGGCCUCCUGGUGGUGAGCGG